rnacentral:rRNA from 1 species
UACGUAGGGUGCGAGCGUUGUCCGGAAUUAUUGGGCGUAAAGAGCUUGUAGGCGGUUUGUCGCGUCUGCCGUGAAAAUUCGAGGCUCAACCUCGAACUUGCGGUGGGUACGGGCAGGCUUGAGUUCGGUAGGGGAGACUGGAAUUCCUGGUGUAGCGGUGAAAUGCGCAGAUAUCAGGAGGAACACCGGUGGCGAAGGCGGGUCUCUGGGCCGAUACUGACGCUGAGGAGCGAAAGCGUGGGGAGCGAACAGG